rnacentral:lncRNA from 1 species
AUGGUGCCUAUGGAAGCCGUGGUCGCUGGUCGAGGUGGGAGAGGAGAUGCAGUACUGACUGCAGCAGGAACCUGGAAUAAGUGGGGAGCAAACAUUCUCCCAAGGGGGACGAGGGGAGCAGCCAGGGGACGCGGAGACCCACCAGACCCACCUGCAGGCACUGGCUGGGUUAGAAAAGAAAAGAUUGGAUCCCGCCAUCCCGAAGGGAUGGAGGGAUCAGAUGCACUCUCCAUCCAGGCAGGUACCGGGAGGCCCACAUCCACCAGCCGCAUCCCCAGCAUCCCCCACAGUAUCUGUCAUGGAACUCAUGACUACAAAAGCACAACUGACAAUGACCUUCAUUAUGGUGAUGCAUUAAAUGAACCUAUGCAACUAUAUUCACACAUAUCAAACAUGAACCCAUCUGUGUUACCUUUCUUGUUAAUUUGUAAACCUUUUAUACACAUUUUUGUGUAUAAGUGUCUUGGUUUUAUGGUGGGAGAUGGGUUUAAGGUACUUGAAAUAAGACGUGGGGUCAUCGGGUGGUUACAGUAGGCAUGGUUCUGAGGGUGGUUAUAGUUCAGUCUGGAUCCUGAAACAAAAAAAGUUAAUAACCAAAGAGUAAUUAGGGUUAGGCAAAAGCCUGGGACUGGUUAUGGUUAGGCGUGGGCCCGAGGGUGGUUAGGGUUAGGAAAAAUGGGUCUGGGGGAGGUUAAGAUGAAAGAGAAAUUAAAUAAUGACCUUUACAGUACCCAUUGUGACUGUUGUUAUUGUUACUUAAAAAAUGUUUUUAUAUCAAUAAUAAUUACUAUAUAGCAUUUGUAAAUUAAAUUGGUUUUGGAAUUAAAAUAGAUUUGUUUAAAAUAAUUAUAUUUUGGGGCCGAAUCAGGUCUAAAUGUUUUACCUGGGCUCUGAGCAGGUCACUUACAAUAAAUAGAUUGCAAAAAGAAUCUAAAGGAGGCCC